UACGUAGGGUGCGAGCGUUGUCCGGAAUUAUUGGGCGUAAAGGGCUCGUAGGCGGUUUGUCGCGUCGGGAGUGAAAACUGAGGGCUUAACUCUGAGCUUGCUUCCGAUACGGGCAGACUAGAGGUAUGCAGGGGAGAACGGAAUUCCCGGUGUAGCGGUGAAAUGCGCAGAUAUCGGGAGGAACACCGGUGGCGAAGGCGGUUCUCUGGGCAUUAACUGACGCUGAGGAGCGAAAGUGUGGGGAGCGAGCAGG
rnacentral:rRNA from 1 species